GUAUAAUUUUGAAUCACUCACACCAGACAGUAAAUGUUGUGUUGGCUAUUGUCAUUUUUGAAUUGACAAUAUAAUGGGAAAGAGGUCAGUGCCCCUGACUAAAGUGUAAGGUAUUGCCUGUUUUAACAAUCCUUGCAGCACACCGGCCACCUGGUUAGGGG